ACAUCGCUGACGAGUGGCGGACGGGUGAGUAAUGCUUGGGAACUUGCCUUUGCGAGGGUGAUAACAGUUGGAAACGGCUGCUAAUACCGCAUAAUGUCUUCGGACCAAACGGGGCUUCUGCUCCGGCGCAAAGAGAGGCCCAAGUGAGAUUAGCUAGUUGGUAAGGUAACAGCUUACCAAGGCGACGAUCUCUAGCUGUUCUGAGAGGAAGAUCAGCCACACUGGGACUGAGACACGGCCCAGACUCCUACGGGAGGCAGCAGUGGGGAAUAUUGCACAAUGGGGGAAACCCUGAUGCAGCCAUGCCGCGUGUGUGAAGAAGGCCUUCGGGUUGUAAAGCACUUUCAGUUGUGAGGAAAAGUUAGUAGUUAAUACCUGCUAGCCGUGACGUUAACAACAGAAGAAGCACCGGCUAACUCCGUGCCAGCAGCCGCGGUAAUACGGAGGGUGCGAGCGUUAAUCGGAAUUACUGGGCGUAAGGCGCACGCAGGCGGUUUGUUAAGCUAGAUGUGAAAGCCCCGGGCUCAACCUGGGAUGGUCAUUUAGAACUGGCAGACUAGAGUCUUGGAGAGGGGAGUGGAAUUCCAGGUGUAGCGGUGAAAUGCGUAGAUAUCUGGAGGAACAUCAGUGGCGAAGGCGA
rnacentral:rRNA from 1 species